GACGAACGCUGGCGGCGGGCCUAAUACAUGCAAGUAGAACGCAGUUGCGAACGGGUGAGUAACGCGUCGGUAACUGCCUCAUAGCGGGGGAUAACUAUUGGAAACGAUAGCUAAAACCCCCUACUGUGAGUUGGACAUGCGUUGUAUUUGCUAGUUGGGGAGGUAAAGGCUCACCAAGGCGCCUUAACAUACCCGACCUGAGAGGGUGAUCGGCCACACUGGGACUGAGACACGGCCCAGACUCCUACGGGAUGCAGCAGUAGGGAAUCUUCGGCAAUGGACGGAAGUCUGACCGAGCAACGCCGCGUGAGUGAAGAAGGUUUUCGGAUCGUAAAGCUCUGUUGUUAGAGAAGCGGUAACUACCCAGAAAGGGACGGCUAACUACGUGCCAGCAGCCGCGGUAAUUC
rnacentral:rRNA from 1 species